UCGCCCGCCGGACGAACCUUCUGAACUUUUCUCAAGGUGACCU
rnacentral:rRNA from 1 species